GAGGUACCCGGGGGCAGUGAGAAUGACGUGUGCUGGUGCAGAGAGGGGGUGGGGGGGCUGCGGGCCGGGCUCUGUGGACCCGCUCCUAAUCCUCUUGUUUUCGGAACAGUCAGCAGAUGUGGCUUCUUUUAGCCUGAAUAAUCCGUUAAAGGAAUAAUUUUUAGAAGGGAGAUCGACCUUACCCAAAGAGGACAGUGAGCGAGAUUAGGGCUCGUAGAUCUACUAACUUUGGUUGGGAUGGCUGAAACGCUCCGGACUGCGAGCAGUCUCUUAAAAAGGAGAACAAAAAGAUGAAGACCCUGAGUGGACGCCGGAACAAAGCACCUUGGGUUCGGUGAACAGGGACGCUCAGGAGCUCUGGCUCCGGAACACGGAUGAUCGAAGCCCAAGUGCGCCCGCCCGGCGUGUGGACCUCGGAGGCGUGAGGACUGCAGCAGGCGAGUUCCGGAAGGCUGAUUCCCCAGAUCCUGGCCCUGGAUCGCGGCAGCUCGCGGCUGCGGUACGCUGGGCCAGGCUGUGCCUGGACCCGGCGAUCGAGGAAAAAGCCUGGAUACGGAAGGAUGGGGAGAACAAAGAGCUUUGGAAGACGUCGCUGUUAUCUCAUUGUCUGUGAUGGGGGAGCUGCGGUGGAGAAAAUGGAGGAUGGGCAGGUCCCUGCAGUAGAGGGAGGAGCUGAGAAAGGAGGCCAAGAGCUGGAUCUUCCUACCAGGAAGCCUGCUGCAUCCUCCCCACCCCACCUGCUGUGGCAGAGGACUAUCUCUGCAAGGCCAAGGCCAUAAGGGCUGCUUAGGAGUUUCAUUUGAUUCCUGACACAGAAAUCAAGGCCUACAGAGAGUCUCUGGAAACUUACAGACCUCUUUUCUCCAAAGCCUCAGCCUCACCCUCUCUUAGUAUCCAGUGACACUAUGGAUCAGUGCCCCUCCCUACCUCGUUCGCUCACCAAAAUAUUGAGUACCUCCUACAUGUCAGUCGUGGCAUUAGUACAUCUUAGGUUCUUUCUUUGCCCUCCCUAAAGGCGUGUUUAAGAGUUGGAUAGGCCAAGGGUAGGGUUAGAUAGGCCAAGGUUAUCCCAUCUAGACACUCCCAGAACCUUCUCUGGGUCUGCUGAAAUGUGUCACAACCUGCUCAGGCCUGCAGGUAGGAAGCGGCAGCACACGACAUGUAGGCUGCAGGUGCCCGAGUCCCAGAAGGCAAGCUUGGCAGUAGGUCAGAAAGAGCAGCUUCUCUCGCCCUAGGGGUGUCCUAAGAGGCACUGGUAGCCAUUGCCUUCAGAAAAUACCUCCCUGGAAACGAAUACCCUCCUGAGUCCUGAUGUAGCCGGGGCCCUUUCGGAACUGGUUCAUGAAGAGAAGUGUUUUGUGCCUCGCUGAGGUGUAAACAGCCUUACCUCUCCCCGUUCUGCUGAGAAGGCUGCGCUCCGGUGCUCUGAGGCAUGGGUUCAGCCUCUGAUGUCCACAGCUUUGCCUCACAAAUGUCCACAAUAGUGAGCCUCUUCUUGGUCAUUGCAUCUCUGUAAUUCCUUUAGACGUUGCUAUACCCUUCACUGAUGCGCCCUCCGGUGAAAUAUCCAAGUGCCUCCCAAUGCCUUUUCUAGGUGGAAACCUAACAGCUUCUCGCUUCUCCCUGAGAGCUUUUAACCGCAAGCUUGAUGGCCAAGGCCUGCCAGGUGUCUGUUGCAGAUCAUCUGUGAUGGGAGGGGAGUAUUUUUUGCUUUAUUACUUAUGUAAACUCUUGUUCCAGAAAGCUUUAGUGUGUGUGAGAGUGUUCUGGAACUGCUGGACCUGGAUCAGUGUGGAUAUUUGCCCAUGCACCAGGUCUUACUACAAAAUGUGUUUUUCUUUUGGGCUUUAAUGGCCGAACAUGGCGAAGAGGAAUGGACCACUUUGCCCCUUGUGUAAAUUGCAAGGUCUCCCUUGUGCAGUGGAUGAUGCUUCAGAUCAGCCCUGAUCUGACUUCUCCCCUUCCUGUGUUUGAGGCCUAUUUGUGCCCAUAGAUAAUUAUGCAAGAAACCUAGAGAUUGCUGCUUUUCCAAGGCAUUUCUUUAACUCUCAACAUCAUCUCCCCUACCUGUGAUUUAAGCCUAACAACAGCCUACAGCUUAACUAAAGGAGAAAACGUAUUGUUAAAAACAUACAGGGCCCAGCUGAGUGAAUACGCUAUGAAGGUCCCCAUGGGUUCCUCUACACCACCCGUCAUCAGUUCUUGUCUUCCUGUGAGCUUAGAUCCUCUUAAGGUAACUGCCUGGUACUUUAAGAUCAAUUUAGGAAUGUACCAGAAAAAUUGGUAAUAUUCUUUCCCCUGCCAGAGACAGCCCUGAUCCUCUGUUUCAGCAGAUGAGAAAUGGACCUUUUAACAAAAGUAAAGGACUCUAAAUUACUUCUAUUACCAGAGGGAGGAGUAAGCUUUUGUGAAUACCUGAGCACCUUUAGCCAGAGGACCAUCUGGGGAAGGGGGUCCAUCCCAAUUGGCAUAUAUCCAUAUAUACAUUUUCUCAUAUGAUCAAUCAUUUCCAUUGCCUAUACGUAUAGGAAGUCUUUUAAUCUCACCCCCCCCAAAAAAAAGUCCAUCCAUCUCUGUUUCCACAGGGAAAUUAAAAAAAAAAAAAAAACUUACAUAAUACCACCUCCCCUCCUAAAAUGGAGCCCUCUGAAGCAGCUGUAAAGCAUUCUCCCUAGCACUGAGGGAGCCUCCCCUUCCUCAGCUACUCUGUGGGUGGUUUUAGAGCCCAAUGAGUCAACUUGGGCUGACUGAGGAGUUGUGCUGGUGGCGUGCCUGUGUGUUGGGGGCUUGGCUGGCUGAUUCACAGUGAUGCAUCCGUCAAUAAGUGAUGAGAAUUAUGGUACUUAAUAAAGAUUUUUUUCUUUCACGUCCCAUCUACAAUUCUUUCGCUGGGUAUUUUACU